UUCCCCUAGUAACUGCGAGUGAAGCGGGAAAAGCUCAAAUUUAAAAUCUGGYGUUCUCUCGRACGUCCGAGUUGUAAUCUAGAGAAGCGUCUUCCGCGCCGGACCGUGUACAAGUCUCUUGGAAUGGAGCGUCGUAGAGGGUGACAAUCCCGUCUUUGACACGGAUYGCCGGUGCUUUUGUGAUGCGCUCUCRAAGAGUCGAGUUGUUUGGGAAUGCAGCUCAAAAUGGGUGGUAAAUUCCAUCUAAAGCUAAAUACAGGCGAGAGACCGAUAGCGAACAAGUACCGUGAGGGAAAGAUGAAAAGAACUUUGAAAAGAGAGUUAAACAGUACGUGAAAUUGUUGAAAGGGAAACGAUUCAAGUCAGUCGCGUCGCCCGGUAAUCAACCCUUUGCUAAAGAGGGCUCACUUUCUGGGUCGACGGGUCAGCGUCAAUUUUGACCGUCAGAUAAAGGC
rnacentral:rRNA from 1 species